UUGAAACACCGUUUCUCGUUCGAUCACCGAAGUUAAGCAACGUCGAACCUGGUCAGUACCAAGAUGGGUAACUGCUUGGGAAUACCAGGUUUUGUAA
rnacentral:rRNA from 1 species